AACAACAAAGAUAUUGUUGUUAAAUACAAGUCUUUUGUUCUUCCUUAAAUGGUUUGAAAGAAAUGUUAUAGUUGUGCUUGAUUUAUUUGAUAAAGGAAAUAUACUCUCUUAGAGAGAGUUCUUAGAAACAUAUAACUUCCCAAUACAUUAUACAGAAUUUAUUUUUAUACGCAAAGCAAUACCUUCAGGACUUACUCAAUUAAUUAAAUCUCAUUUGUGUUUUGGAGAACAUGUCAAGAUAGAUGCACAAUUUAUGUUAGAAGGUUGCCCCCUACUGGAUAAGAAAUGUAAUAAUACAUUCUUAAGAAUGCAAGAACAAGAUCUCUCCUAGAGGGAACUUCUUCUGGAAUAAUUGAAUGGAAGAAAGCUUGGUUUCUCCCUCAUAAAUUUUGUAUAUAAGUUAAAUAAAUUCACUUUAAAAUCUUGUACAAAAUAUACCCUUGUAAUAACGUGUCCAAAUUCAUGGACUUAGAGGAAAUAUGCCUUUUCUGUGAUAAAGAAGGGGGAACUAUUAUACACUUUAUUGGAGUGAGGUAAGUAUCUACAUUUUUUAUUUAAUUAACAAGACCCAUGUAUUUACAAUGAAAUAUGGCAAAUGUUAUUAUUCAUAUUAAAACAAAACCACUGAAUUAGUUGUUAAUUUCUUAAUUCUCUCUGGUAAAUGUUAUAUAUAUACAAAAACAAAUAUUUGAAAUCUGUGCAAUAGAUUUUUACUUGAAAUCCAAGAUUUGAUCAAAUCUCGAGAAUGAAUCAAUAACAAAAAAAUGCAUUCUUAAACUCUAUCAUAGGUUUGUACAUUUGUAACCCCUGACCUUAUUUUAUUGAUUUUAUUGUAGGUCAUUUCACUUUUGAAACUCAAUUUAUCUGUAGUGGUUUUAAUAUUUUACUUUAAUGUUAUUUUAUAUUUCUUCAGAGAAAAUAUACGUGUAGUGAUGACCUAUGUUUUUUUUGUUAUUGUAUUGUAAUUUGAAAACGUAUGGCAGUUUGAAAUAGAUAUUCUUUGUGGAAUCGAUCUCCGUUGUCCUGCCUGCUCACAGGAGAUGCUUGCUAUAUCAGUGAAUGGAAAUCACAAUGAAUAACACUUCCAGAAAUCUGGAAAUCUGUUUGUACUACCUUCUUAUGUGUUGAUAUUUUGUUCAGGGUAUAAGUGAUUUGUUUUUUUGCUUUAUCCAAACCCCUCAGAGGUUGGAGCAACAUUGUCAGAUGUCUGGUACUUGAACCAGCAACCCACCUCUCUAACCUCUAAGCUACCUGCCACCUUUGAUGUAUAAUUUUGUGAUGUCAUCUUGCAGUCUGACUCUAAUUUAGUUCUGAGAAGGUCUUCUACGACAGUGUCUUCCAGGCGAAAGGCAUGUCCAUAAAAAGUACAAGCGUGUAAUUAUUCUCUUACAGUUUCUAUAACAUAGCUUUAUGUUAAUCUCUGCACUUCACUGUGAUUAUUAUGUUGUAGACACCAGGCAAAGGAAUGUGUGGCACAUCAGAGUGGACAGCGGCCAAAGAGUCGUCAAAAAAAUUAUCUGCUAAAGAUAAGGGCCUUGAGAUAGCAGUUUGCCAACAUGGCAUGCUCCUCAAGGUCCUCAACAUGUGCAGAUGUGAAAUAUAUGCCUACGCAGUGUACUUGCAGAAGGAGUUGUGUUCUGUUGGCACGGUGGGCUUCUUCUGCUGCGAUGUUGCAUGCAAAUACUGGCCAUAUUUGCAGAAGUCAUGCAGGCAUGCCCAGAGUUGGAGGAGCUUCUAAAAAUGCACCCUCUCCAUCAUGCAUGCGAAGGCGCAUACCUCUUGUGAGGUAUGCAGAAAGGAUAUUGUAAAGACUUUUAAAAUAAUAGAAUACAUUAUUUUUUUAAUGUAUUUUUCAUUAUGGGAUUAUAGCUCAAAUGGGGAGGCCACAAUCAGCCUGGUACCAGCAACACAACCAGAGAAGGAAGUCAAGCAGGAUGUCAAUGAUGCUGUGCUUCAGGAGUGAGUUGCUGAGGUGCAGCAGUGGCCUGAAGCAGGAGAGGUAAAAUGCCGCCACCACCUGCUUCAGGAGCAGCCUGGUCUCCUGAGGUUGACACCUGACCCCUCACCUCUGAACCUAUCCAGGGAAAUAUGAUUUGCCUGAUGACACUCUAGUUGAAAUUUCGGCACAUUUGUUGCCAUGUUUCCUCACCUCCAUUUCUUCCGGUCCUAGACUAUGGCGACAUCAUCAUCAAUUCAGAAAUUGAUCUGAGGACCUCUUUACUGAGGAAUGUGGUUGUUCUACAUGAUUGUUUGUAUUUUCUAUGCUGCUGUGAUUUAUGUGUAAUUGUGAGUUGCAAAAGAGUCUUUGGUCUCAAUGGGCCUGGUAAAAUAAAUGAAGUAAAGGUCUUAAUAAACAUUCAUUAAGCACUAACA
ensembl:lncRNA